AUGCCGUGCCAGCAACACGUCCCUGGCUUUCUCUUUCAUGUCCCCACCAUCACCUACGAGCUGCUGACUCAGGGAGGGAAGCACAGGACAGCACCAGGUGCACUGACUCCAGCACAUACCCCUGCGGGCCCCGCAUAUCCUGUACACUGUACUGCAGCCAGCUUGGCCGCUCCCUUCUUCCCAUCCCCCUUUCCUCCCCCUCACCCCCACUCUCACUUGUGGGUCCUGGCAGGACCCCAGAAGUUCAGGGAUCACAGACCACUCCAAGGCCCUUGCAGGCAUGGUGGAGCAGCCCUUUGGGGCGGGAAGUUGACGGAGGCCCAGGAACGCAGGGCGCAGCCCCAGCAGGGAGACCCCAGGAAUGAUAACGAUGCAGGGAAGAGGUUGGGGUUCAUCAUAGACCGGGUGAAAGGCGCCCCGCUGGGAGACGGGCUCCUCAGGCUGACCGGCUAUCACCAGAAAACGGGGCAGGUGAUCAGCACCGGGAACGCCGGGAUGACCUGCUACACUACCCCUGUGAGAUCCAACAUUAAACUCGGCUACUUCAUAUUCGGGGAGCAGGAGAUGACUUUCCUGGACCUGCUGCCACAGGAGGACAUGAUCCUGAUUGUCCGCUUUUACCACUGGCCCAGUGGAGGGGUGGCCACCACCCCGUGGGACCAGGGGUCAGGCGGGCAGCAGCUGCUGCUGGGAACUGACGCGUGGUUGGCUGCCUGGGCUGUCCUCAGACUGACCAAGCCUGCCGGAUCCGAUGUGGUGAGAAAAGGGGGCCUAGGAGCAGUGACCUGGAACACGGGGACCCAUGAUCUGACCCUAUAUCAUGGCCCUGUGCCUCCUGCCCGUACGCUUUCAGUCCUGCCCGAGGAGCGGCAGCACAAGAGCUUCGAGCCAUACGGCAGUGCCAACGUGAGGCUGCACCUGUUCAGCGACAAGAAGCCGGAGCAGCCUUUCCCCCCCAAGUCACCAGUCCCUCUCAGCCAGCCGCAGGACUGGCCCUGGGCGGUGUUCAUCCAUCACACCAGGGAGACACCAGCCUCGGAGCCCUUCAGCGCCGCAGACGGCUUCGACCUGCACAUCGACGGGGCCCGGUUCCUGCCCGAUGCCGUCACCGUCACUAAGGUCACGGGCCGAAUCUUUGACAGCAGCUACCACCAAAUUGGGCCAGACAUUUCCACCGGCAUUGAUUUGAGCAGCAAUAUCUUCGAGCCACUGUACAGCUAUAGCGUGGAGAUCCGGAAUCCAGCAGUGCCGCCCUCCGCUACGCUCUUGCUAAAGCUCUACUCCCUGGAUCGGUUCAGUUCCAAGCUCGUCCUAAUUGGCUGGGCAGCUCUCAAUCUCUUUGUGGAAUCUGGGACGCACAGAGCCCCUGCUUCAGAUUCCCAGGGGAUCCAGGUCUCUCUGAACGAGGGUGCCCACCAGCUUCGCCUGUACCACAGUGGCCCUGCCACGGACCAGCCGUUCUCUGUCGGUGCCCUCACCUCCGCAGGACGGUACAUCCCAUGUGCCAGCCUGCUAGUCAGGCUGCUCAAAGCCCCCAUGGACUCCAGCCAUCAAACCCUGCAGAGAAGCCUGGUUCCCCAGGCGGACUGGGUCAGACUCGGCCUCUUCCAGCCCAGGCCUGACUAUUCAGAUGGGGUCUAUUAUUCAGACUCAGUCGUGCCCACUGCCGGAGAGAGGUGCCUCUACAGCGCCAUGGGAAACAGGUCUGCAGUGCUGGUUCGGGAGAUUGCCCCUCAGCUUGCAGGAAACAAAGGCCUGGAGUUGAAUACAGAUGAGGAGAUCUCUGCUUGGAUCAAAGAGAAAUUGACCAGGACGACAAACAGCAGCCCUCAGCCUUUCAACCUUACCUAUGUCUCUCGAUACCUCCCUACAUAUGGCAUUAAGUUUGCAGUGGAUGGUGCCAAGAAUCUACCCUGGUCUGGUCUGACAGUGGCUCAUUUCUGCUUCAAUCCCCCUGGGGCCUUUUAUUUUGGGAGACCCUGGCUAAAAUACGAUCCUCCUGUCUUUGUGGAGGAGCUUGACCUUGACAGCUACCAGCGAUGGCCUGUGUGGCUGGAUGGAUUCAAGUCCUUUCCUCUGAGGAUUUACAAUGAGUAUCUAACGGUGAUUAUCCACCUGUACGAAGUCCUAGUGAACCCUGAGCCAGACACCCUGGGCAAAGAGGCAGCCAGCAGGCCUGUGCCAAAAGGAAUCAUGAGGAAAGAGUGCGAAAGGCUGCACUACGUCCUGGGGAGGGAAGCGUGGGCUGUUCUCCAAGUGUUCUCUAGUGGCUACUGCAACACUGAUGUUUAUCAGCUGCCUCUGUACCAGGGAGCUCCGAGCCAGAACAUUGUGAUCUCCAUCUCCCAAGGGACGUGUGCCAGCGUUACGCAGGGGCUGGUGGACAGGAAAGUGAGAAAUGCUGUCUCCGAAGUGGACUAUAUUACGUACGAAAAGUCUGGUGUUGCAGUUUAA
rnacentral:lncRNA from 1 species